rnacentral:misc_RNA from 1 species
GAUGAAGAACGCAGCGAAAUGCGAUAAGUAGUGUGAAUUGCAGAAUUCAGUGAAUCAUCGAAUCUUUGAACGCACAUUGCGCCCUGUGGUAUUCCGCAGGGCAUGCCUGUUCGAGCGUCAUUGACACCAUCAAGCUCUGCUUGGUCUUGGGCGUUUGUGCCUGCCGUUGCGCAGGGACUCGCCUCAAACUCAUUGGCAGCCUGCCUUUGCCGGUCUUUGCACAGCACAGUCGUGCCAAAGCCGCGGUGAGCAGGCGCUCCACAAGCCCUUUUCAGCUUGACCUCGGAUCAGGUAGGAAUACCCGCUGAACUUAAGCAUAUCAAUAAGCGGAGGA